GCCAUACAAAGUUGUAGAAGCGCAAUCAAGUAGUGGUAGAAAGCGGAAGAGAACUCUUCAGCCAAUCAAUACUCUAGUACAUGAAGGAGUAGACCUCAAUACCAAAGCUCCGGAAGUUGAACAAGUUCACUCAUUUGAAGAGAUGCAAGGUUAGGAAAAGUGUAAUAAAUAUGGCCCGUCAGCUUAGGUCAACUGUCAUGUCUCCUGGAGGAGUUUCUUUGGACAACUGGAGGUUCAGUCAAGAAGUGUCUAGGAAAGAGUUAACCCGGAUGAUCUCGCUUCACGGGCUACCACUAUGGAAGCACUGAUAUGCUUGCAAGAUUGGAUGCGGGCCUCGGGUUCGUUUUAAUUUUGCAUGGAAGGGAGUGAGGAUUUCAUCGAGCUACCUGAUUCACAAGAAUGACAUGCUUAAGUUUCUUGUGCUCCCUCUCCUGCCAUCACUAGCGACAUCUUUCAGGAGAAUGAAAUGAAGCUGAAGCCGAUUAUUGCUGCUGUGCAGGGUGCUAGCGGCCUUGGAGAUCAUCAACCAGCAGCAAUAGGGUCAAAUGGGAAGUUUGCUGACUUCAGUACCAUUGUUAUUCGGAUGGUUUUCCAAGAAUUAGGAAUGGACUUUUACUUUGAUGGUAGUCCCUUCAGAUUGUUUAGCUAGCUAAAACAUGUGUAGGAACAACAGUUAGCAUAUAGAAUUUCUAAACUGCACAAAA